UACGUAGGGGGCUAGCGUUGUCCGGAAUCAUUGGGCGUGAAGAGCGUGUAGGCGGCCCGGUAAGUCCGCUGUGAAAGUCGGGGGCUCAACCCUCGAAUGCCGGUGGAUACUGUCGGGCUAGAGUGCGGAAGAGGCGAGUGGAAUUCCUGGUGUAGCGGUGAAAUGCGCAGAUAUCAGGAGGAACACCGAUUGCGAAGGCAGCUCGCUGGGACGUCACUGACGCUGAGACGCGAAAGCGUGGGGAGCAAACAGG
rnacentral:rRNA from 1 species